UUUUAAAGCAAAUGAUGGACUUUUUAGCAUGUUUCACGCAUCAUGAAUGCCAUGAGAUGUACUAGGUUGUUUGCAUUAGAAUUCACGAAUAUGUUGCAUUGCAUACUUUAUUAUGGAUUGAUGUGGGUGAACGUUGGAUGAUCCAAAGCCCUCGAUCUAUGACAUGACGAUGUGAUAUGUACAGUACGAAAUGUAAGACCAGUGGGACCCAUUCUACGUUCGCUGGCACCAUGUAAGGGAAAGACCAGGACCCAUUCUACGUUCUGGCACAGUUGGACUGUUAUGACAUGCUAUGUUAUGUAAGAGAAAGACCAGGACCCAUUCUACGUUCUGACACAGUUGGACUAUGUAGAGGGCUAUUGGUGACAAGUUCAUCCUUGAUGUGAUUAGCUGUGAUGUGAUGCA
rnacentral:lncRNA from 1 species